GUGGCGGAUCGGAGAAGGAGCAAAGAUGGCGGAGUGAGGCGUUCCCCGGCAGCCGGGCUCCGGGCCCGGGCGGGCCUCCCGCGAGAGGCAGAGCACUUGUGCGGGGCCGAGUGAGAUUGUCCAUCUCCGUGUUGCUUUUGACAUCUGCAGUGACCCGUUCCCGAAGGCGUCAUCGGUGAAGGAACCUUAGCACACAAGAUGAAUAUUUUCGUGACCUUAGGUGCUUUUAUAUUCAGCUCAGAAUUCUGAACUCAGGACUUGGCAAGAAUGUCUGUGUUGUCUUCUCAGUGGGGCGUCCUGGUUCUUUGAUCCAGCUGCUUCCCCUGGUGAAAUGCGGGUGUCUUUCUACACACACCUCCACGGUUUGGAAUGGAGAGACUGCCUGCCUUUCCUUAACGCCACCUCAGCAGAGAGGAGUCUGGGAUGCAGCUGUCGUGUUGAGUUCAGGAGAAACCAACUGGCCUGAAGCUUCUGUUGCAGUUCCUUCAUUAGAAAGACACCGUUUGCAAGUGGAAGGAAGGUGUUUAAUUGGAAACAGGUGCUUAGGUUGUGCAUCGUGAGUUCUUCCUUUAAAAGCUCCAAACAACAAAACUUAACAAAUGCCAAGUGUGGGUGACUUCAGGUUUCAUUUUGUUUGGUUUUUAAGUCUGCCAGUUUUAACACUAUUAUAAGCACAGUUGAGACUGCAGUGGUAAAUUCCAAAUAUGCGUUAUAAUUGGAGGUGAAAGAAACAUUAUCUAACUCCUAGCUCACCCUUGACAGAAUUUCCUGGACAAAAACAAGUCUCUGUUAUGAUAAAAGCAAAAGUCAAGAUUUCAAGGUUGCUUUCCUAUGGGAUUGUAACCGUUGCAGUGUGUGUGCAGAGUCACAUUUUUAUGUGUAUAAAUCCACAUUUUCUAACAGGAUUUUUCUCUUGGAGAAGAAAGCUGUCAUUUAUGAGAAGGCUUCAGACAGUUUGAUGGUCUUAAGUGUUUGAGCUUUGUCUGUUUUGCUUUGCUUUUUUCAUCCUCAGGAAGGACCAGCUAGGCCUGUGGCUAGUUCGGAGUGGGAAGAGAACAGGCUGGGGUGAUGCUUGCCUCAUACGGCCAGUGCUUGGGAGGCUGAGGCAGGAAGAUCAGAAGUUCGGGUCCAGCUUUGGCCACAUGGUGAGACUGUCUCAAAAACAGCAGAAAAGAAAGAAAAAUGAGCCCAGUAACACCACUCGUUUGUUUUCCGAGAGUAUUUUCUUUUUUGCAAUCUCAUGUAGCACAUGAGACUUCGGUUUUCCAUGUGGCUGUGGCUGAAGGAAAGUGAUAUGUGUUAUGUGAUGGACCCUAUGGUAUAACUCACCUUCCACUUUGAACAUACAGGAGUGAAGGAAAAUAACUCAAAGGGGGCGUGUAGAUCCUCUUCUGAGAAAAAGAAGCCGCGACGUCUAAUGUAGCAGCAUCUGACUUUAGAUUUUUUACAUUAUGUAGUUGCAUUUGUUUUAAAAGCAUAAAUAACCUUCAUCCAAGAUGGGUACUUGGACAUUUAUUUUUCUAGGUGAUAAUGUAAUGUAAGGCUGAAAUUCUGGGACUCAGGUAAAUUUUCCCAGUUUGAAUUGAACUUUCUUACCAGAGAAUGGAUCUCAGAAGCAACGUUCCCAGUCCUGUGAUCGGUUCACUAUACUCUUGGAAGAAAUUCAGGAUCUGAACAAACUUCAAAUAAGAAAAGCGGGUCAAAUAAGAAGUGUGGACCUUGUUCCAAGUCACUGUAGAUUUAGAGGAAAUUCAGGUUCAGGGUUGGGAAGACCUUGAGAAAACUAGUUCCAAUAAGAAAUGAUGUGUGUUCAUUUUUCCUUUAACAGUUAUGAGGAACCAUCAUGAAAAUCUCUCUUUGCUUCCAAAUCAACAGAAGUCUGUUUUAUGGGAUGCCAGGCUUGUACAAGGGAGUGAACUGUUGUUCUCAGUGGUUGCCAAUAGAGAAGGAAGUUUAAGGUUGCUAGAGUUAGGAACAGGUGCUGUUGGAGCUGAUUUCUGGAACCAUUUCCCAGUGCUGUGAAGUUGAGUCAUAAAAA